rnacentral:rRNA from 1 species
GUGGGGAAUAUUGGACAAUGGGCGAAAGCCUGAUCCAGCCAUGCCGCGUGUGUGAAGAAGGUCUUCGGAUUGUAAAGCACUUUAAGUUGGGAGGAAGGGCAGUAAGUUAAUACCUUGCUGUUUUGACGUUACCGACAGAAUAAGCACCGGCUAACUUCGUGCCAGCAGCCGCGGUAAUACGAAGGGUGCAAGCGUUAAUCGGAAUUACUGGGCGUAAAGCGCGCGUAGGUGGUUUUGUAAGUUGGAGGUGAAAUCCCCGGGCUCAACCUGGGAACUGCCUCCAAAACUGCAUGACUAGAGUACGGUAGAGUGUAGUGGAAUUUCCUGUGUAGCGGUGAAAUGCGUAGAUAUAGGAAGGAACACCAGUGGCGAAGGCGACUACCUGGACUGAUACUGACACUGAGGUGCGAAAGCGUGGGGAGCAAACAGGAUUAGAUACCCGUGUAGUCC